UCGAGGAUCUUCGGCAAUGGGCGCAAGCCUGACCGAGCGACGCCGCGUGUGCGAUGAAGGCCUUCGGGUUGUAAAGCACUGUCGAGGGGGAGGAAGCCGCAAGGUUGACCUAUCCCUGGAGGAAGCACGGGCUAAGUUCGUGCCAGCAGCCGCGGUAAGACGAACCGUGCGAACGUUGUUCGGAAUCACUGGGCUUAAAGGGCGCGUAGGCGGACUGCCAAGUCCGGGGUGAAAUCUUUCGGCUCAACCGGAAAAUAGCCUCGGAGACUGGCGGUCUGGAGGGGGGUAGGGGCAGCUGGAACUUCCGGUGGAGCGGUGAAAUGCGUUGAUAUCGGAAGGAACGCCGGUGGCGAAAGCGAGCUGCUGGACCUUUUCUGACGCUGAGGCGCGAAAGCCAGGGGAGCAAACGGGAUUAGAUACCCCCGUAGUCC
rnacentral:rRNA from 1 species